CCCCCAUACACAGCGCUAAAGCAUCGGGUAGGGUGACUCAGAGUAACUUCUUUCCUGCAGAACUGCUCUCUGAGGUCUGCGGCCACAGCCCAGAGCUGAGUAUGAGUAAACCCUACGUGGAGUUUGGGGCUUUUCCCAAACGGCCCCGGCUGCCGUUCUCUGACCUUACGCACGGAUCGGUGGGUCUGAAAGUUGGGUCCUCCCCGCGCCACGGGCCGGCCCUGCUCUGCUCGGAGUCAGCGGUCCCCCAGCACGAUAGAUAAGCAGCAGCUCGCUACGGCCAAAGGAGAAGGAAAGGGGAGAGCGAAGCUCGCUGCCCGCCUCUCUGCGACCAUCGCUGGGAAAGUGGGAAAAAGGCUUCCGCGUGCAUCGCUUCGAAACCACCGCUGUCUGACCGAGGGGGAAGAAGGGAAGGAGGAAGGAAGGAAGGAAGGAAGGAAGGGAGGAAGGGAGGAAGGAAGGGAGGAAAAACAAACGUCACGGCGCUUGAAGAGACAAUGGGAAACACGGUCUAACACCUCGGCUGCUGAAUGCAAUAUUUAUAUGAUCUCUGCGAGAGAACGCUUCGUUGGGGUUUUUUUUUUUUUUUCCCUCCAUCACCGUCCGACGCUCGUCUAAGUAAACUUUUAGCUUAUAAAAACGCCUCGCCUAUGUAGCACCCGUCUAAAGGGCCCCGUUGUGAACGUGUAACUACCGGAGUUUAGAGUUCCCCUCGUGUCUAUGGAUGGCGGUGCGCGGCACACACACGGCGCUGCUCCCAGCCCGCUCCGCGCCUCUCCUCCGAGCUUUGUGUCGUGCGCUGUGUCCCCCCGGGCUCCUCUCUCUCUCUCUCUCUCUCUUUUUGGAAGUUAACCGUUUCCCAUCAGGAUAAUGCCACGAAACGCACUUUAAAACUGUUACCGGGGUGAGGUGUGGGGGGGAGGGGGGGGGAGGCGAAUUGAAAGUGGCAUUUUUUCCACUUCAUUUCACCCUUCCCCCCCCCCCCCCCCCCUCCCCCCGUGAAAGACACAGGGCUGCCCGAGCGGAGCUGCUCCUUUCGUUCCGUACAUGACGCUGCGAACCGACCGGGGGUGGGGGGAGUGGGGUGGGGGGGGGGGGGGGGGAGGAAAAAAUAAUAAAUACGGGAAGCAAAGGUGAAGGGAGCGCGGGCUGCGAGCAGAGCCGCUCCGGGGGGGCCGAGGGCGGG
rnacentral:lncRNA from 1 species